UUAUAGGGAAAUUGUAAUUAUAUUGUAAACAUUAAUGAAAAUUUGCUAAUGAAUUAUUUAUUGAUUUUUAUAAAGCUUACUAUAAUCUAUAUGUGUGAAAGUUGAAUCCAUAUGUAUUAUAUUCUGAAAGUAAUACUUGAAUAGUCGAUUAAUGACUAGUUAAAAUUUGUUGAACUUAAGCUCAAGAGCAUAGGGGGGCAAUUUCAGAUAAGGGAAAAGAGAAAGUAACCGAGUAGC
rnacentral:lncRNA from 1 species